rnacentral:rRNA from 1 species
UACGAAGGGGGCUAGCGUUGCUCGGAAUCACUGGGCGUAAAGGGUGCGUAGGCGGGUCUUUUAAGUCAGGGGUGAAAUCCUGGAGCUCAACUCCAGAACUGCCUUUGAUACUGAGGAUCUUGAGUUCGGGAGAGGUGAGUGGAACUGCGAGUGUAGAGGUGAAAUUCGUAGAUAUUGGGAAGAACACCGAUGGCGAAGGCAGCCAUCUGGACCGACACUGACGCUGAGGCGCGAAAGCGUGGGGAGCAAACAGGG